GACGAACCGUGCGAACGUUGUUCGGAUUCACUGGGCUUAGAGGGCGCGUAGGCGGGUCAUCAAGUCAGGGGUGAAAUCUUUCAGCUCAACUGGAAAAGUGCCUUUGAUACUGAUGAUCUCGAGGGAGGUAGGGGCAUGUGGAACUUCCGGUGGAGCGGUGAAAUGCGUAGAUAUCGGAAGGAACGCCGGUGGCGAAAGCGACGUGCUGGACCUCUUCUGACGCUGAGGCGCGAAAGCUAGGGGAGCAAACGGG
rnacentral:rRNA from 1 species